ACGACACAUUUUAGGAAACGAAACGAGGGAAACGACUAAAACAUUUUCAUGUUUCAGUCGUUUCCCUCGUCUCGUUUCCUGAAAUGUGUCGUACA
rnacentral:pre_miRNA from 1 species